GAGCGGCGAACGGGUGAGUAAUGCAUCGGAACGUGUCCUCUUGUGGGGGAUAACCAGUCGAAAGACUGGCUAAUACCGCAUGAGAUGAGAGAUGAAAGCGGGGGACCGCAAGGCCUCGCGCGAGAGGAGCGGCCGAUGCCGGAUUAGCUAGUUGGCGGGGUAAAAGCCCACCAAGGCGACGAUCCGUAGCUGGUCUGAGAGGACGACCAGCCACACUGGGACUGAGACACGGCCCAGACUCCUACGGGAGGCAGCAGUGGGGAAUUUUGGACAAUGGGGGCAACCCUGAUCCAGCCAUGCCGCGUGUGUGAAGAAGGCCUUCGGGUUGUAAAGCACUUUCGGACGGAACGAAAUCGCGCGAUCUAACAAGUCGCGUGGAUGACGGUACCGUAAGAAGAAGCACCGACUAACUACGUGCCAGCAGCCGCGGUAAUACGUAGGGUGCGAGCGUUAAUCGGAAUUACUGGGCGUAAAGUGUGCGCAGGCGGCCGCGCAAGUCGAGUGUGAAAGCCCCGGGCUUAACUUGGGAAUUGCGCUCGAAACUACGUGGCUGGAGUGUGGCAGAGGAAGGUGGAAUUCCAGGUGUAGCGGUGAAAUGCGUAGAGAUCUGGAGGAACACCGAUGGCGAAGGCAGCCUUCUGGGCCAACAC
rnacentral:rRNA from 1 species